UACGUAGGGCGCAAGCGUUGUCCGGAAUUAUUGGGCGUAAAGAGCUCGUAGGCGGUUUGUCGCGUCUGCUGUGAAAACUCGAGGCUCAACCUCGGGCUUGCAGUGGGUACGGGCAGACUAGAGUGCGGUAGGGGUGACUGGAAUUCCUGGUGUAGCGGUGGAAUGCGCAGAGUAUCAGGAGGGAACACCCGGUGGCGAAGGCGGGUCUCUGG
rnacentral:rRNA from 1 species